AGGCUUCUGCGCGGCGCGACAAGCGGCAAACACCCCGGGGCCAAUACUCCCGAAUGGGAACUGUCCCUGGCCUGGACUGUGGUCCGGGCUAUAUGGUGCCCACCUGCUUAGUGCAGGCCGCGGAGGACUGCCGUCACCGGUCGUGCGGGGCCUUC
rnacentral:other from 1 species